rnacentral:rRNA from 1 species
CCCUUAGAUGUUCUGGGCCGCACGCGCGCUACACUGAUUCAUGCAACAAGUUUUGUCCUUGGCUGAUAGGCCUGGGUAAUCUUUGAACGUGAAUCGUGAUGGGGAUAGAUGAUUGCAAUUAUUCAUCUUCAACGAGGAAUUCCUAGUAAACGCAAGUCAUCAGCUUGCAUUGAUUACGUCCCUGCCCUUUGUACACACCGCCCGUCGCACCUACCGAUUGAAUGGUCCGGUGAAAUCUUCGGAUCUGAGAGAUGUCUGAUUAAUUUCGGACGCCUUUUGGAAAAGUUGCUUAAACCUUNCNAUUUACNGGAAGGUGAANUCGUANCA